rnacentral:lncRNA from 14 species
GGCACGUACGGGCUGAAGACAGAAGCGAGGCAACAAGAACAACGGACUGUCCCCAAAGGACUCGCUGUGCCUCUGUGGUCUCUCUGUGUCUUUGCCUCGCUCUGUCUCCCAGCAGCUGAGUCUUCACAAGCAGUCAGCUCACUCAAGCAAGACAAAAUGCUUGGAAUGCCCCUGACUUACGUUCAGUUAUUCACACUCUCGAAGUCAUCCGCUUCACCAAGUAUGACGAGUCAGCGCCGGUUUGGUCAGCUGAGCGCACCGCCGCGGGCGAGUUCAAAGCAAUGGCCCAACCACUCUUCUAAAAGGUGUACACGUCAUCUGACAUAUUUCUUGGCUAUGAUACAAUUCCUGCCAAUGCUAAUCGGAAGACCUUGAUCUGGGACUUCCUAGCCCGGGACAGUGAGAACCGUCUUCUUCUGAGAUGAGCCUGCUUAAGACUUCCGGCUGCACCAGCCCAGACAGCACGAAGAAAGGUGAGGUCUACCUCACCUCUAGGGAAA